AUGAGAGUGUUGCAUUUUUUCUGUCUAGUGACAGUCCUUCCUGGUAUCCUGUCUCAGAUGAAGCUACAAGAAUCAGGACCUGGCCUGGUGAAACCCACCCAGUCACUCUUCCUCACCUGCUCUGUCACUGGUUUUUCCAUCACCAGUGGUUAUUACUGGAUCUGGAUCCGGCAGUCACAUGGGAAACACCUAGAAUGGAUGGGGUAUGUGACUUACAGCGGGGAAACUUUCUACAACCCAUCCAUCAAGGGUCCAAUCUCCAUUACUAGAGAAACAUCCAAGAACCAGUAUUUCCUGCAAUUGAACUCUGUGACCACAGAGGACACAGCCAUGUAUUACUGUGCAGGAGACACAGUGAGAAGACUUCAGUGUCAACCCAGACACAAACCUCCCUGCAGAGGGGCUUUAAACCAACAGGUGGUGCUGUUGGUUUGA